AAGGAUUUAAGAUUCCACUCAGAGCAGCACAUCCAACUGCCCGAAUUUCUAAGAGAGAAAAUAUAAGACUUUCAUGUUCUGACCCUAGAGUACAGGAAAUUCAAAUGCUCCAACGAUUCCCUUUGGCUCUAUUCAGUUGUCAUCAUGUAUGCGAGAAUAUCCAAGAAAGCGGCUCCCAGAACUUGUGGGACUCCAAACCUUGACAGAAUCAUGCGUGGGCACAGUCUUUCGUCAGGAUCACUACAACAGCUAGAAAAGGAGAAGGCGACCCACUGCAGACACGAGACAGGAGGCACCUUACACAAGGCAAGCAAACAGGCCCCUGCGAGAGGCUGGAUGUCCUGCCUCCUGCAAAGGGCUGCAGAGGCAAAGACUAACAAACCAACCUAUUUAUGGAUGAGGAAAAUGCCUUGGAAGAGAAGACAGUAACCAAACCCUGCAACUGCUGACAUUAAGUCCAAAAGUCCGCUGGAACCACUGCCCCAGAGUGCUGAUCAUUUUCCCAGCUGCCAACACGAGCAAGGACACACCUUAGUUUGCACGGCAAGCAUACUCUGGGGUGGCCAGACCCUGGGGCGUGUGGUACAGGGAUGGUACUUCAAAAACCCAGAGACCAUAAAGCUAAGAGAAGAAAAUAGUGACUGGUGGGGUCCCAAGACUGUCGGUCUUAGAAAGAAUCCAUUUAUCAAAAGCACAGCAAUUUUACCUUUGACUCAAUCUUUUAUUUCAAGACAAAUUCCAAAGGCUUGCUGCACACAGAAAAUGGAUCAAAAUAACACAUGAACGAGUUUUAAGAAAAAAUUUCCUAUACAUUGACAUUAGUAUGUAUUCAACUGAUAAAAAAUAUAAAAUCUCUAUCGAUUUCUCUUAAUGAAGCUUUAAUAGUAACAAACUCCCCCCAAAAUAAAAGAAGCAGUCAAUAAAUGGGCAAAUGAA